UGUUACUGACGCUGAAGCGCGAAAGCGUGGGGAGCGAAGGGGAUUAGAUACCCCCGUAGUCCACGCCGCAAACGAUGUUCACUGGGUGUCGGUCAUUAAUUAGAUCGGUGCCGGAGCUAACGCAUUAAGUGAACCGCCUGGGGACUACGGCCGCAAGGCUAAAACUCAAGAGAAUUGACGGGGCCCUGCACAAGCGGUGGAGCACGUGGUUUAAUUCGAUGAUAAGCGAAGAACCUUACCUGGGCUUGACAUACUAGCAGUAGAAGCCAGAGAUGGUAACGACCCCUACUUUUGGUAGGGGAACUAGUACAGGUGAUGCAUGGCUGUCGUCAGCUCGUGUCGUGGGACGUUGGGUUAAGUCCCGAAACGAGCGCAACCCCUGUUGUUAGUUGCCAGCGGGUAAUGCCGGGGACUCUAACAAGACUGCUGGUGAAUAGCCGGAGGAAGGAGGGGAUGACGUCAAGUCAUCAUGUCCCUUAUGUCCAGGGCGACACACAUGCUACAAUGGGAGGUACAAAGGGCUGCUAAACCGUAAGGUCAUGCGAAUCCCAAAAAGCCUUCCUCAGUUCGGAUUGAGGUCUGCAACCCGACCUCAUGAAGCCGGAAUCGCUAGUAAUCGCAGGUCAGCCACACUGCGGUGAAUAUGUACUCAGGGCUUGUACACACCGCCCGUCACACCAAUCGAGUAGAGGGGACCUGAAGUCG
rnacentral:rRNA from 1 species